CUCCCAGGUUCCCACAAGGAUGCAUGCUGUUCCCAGUGGUUCUAUGAAUGCUGCUGUGCACCCCACCCAAAGCCCCACUGAGGAGGGUCCCUGCUGAUGUGGGGGGCCAUGGCUUCACCUCCUGUGCUCCUGAGCACUUUCUGCUGCUGGCUUUGCUUCUCUACCUGCUGUUUAUAAAUGUUUUACAGAAUCUGCUUCCUUGAAACCAAAAUGAGGCAACAGCUGUGCUUGCAGCAAGUUGCAACAUCUCCUUGCUGGAUGGAGGCACAUCUUGUCACAAGUGGUGCUGGUAGCAAAACCUCAGUGAAAGGACCUGCCUGCCUGGGGGUGCUCACUCCUCUGAGGACCCUGUCUGCAGUGCUACAACCAGAUGUGUCUUAGGAUGCAAUCAAAUUCAAGAUCUGCUCAGCUGAAAAGCAGAAGAGCGAGGAACCCUCAUUUUCACACAGCACAAAGUUGCCUCAAAAAAAAGCUUUGAAUGUAGUGCCAGCACAACAGCACUGCCAGCAGUGAGAGAAAAUAAGACAAGUGCCUCCAAGCUAUAAUAAAUACUACUGUUAUUUCC